rnacentral:other from 2 species
ACGGUUAUAAAUCAACAUAUUGAUUUAUAAGCAUGGAAAUCCCCUGAGUGAAACAACGAAUUGCUGUGUGUAGUCUUUGCCCAUCUCCCACGGUGGGCUUUUUUUUAA